UCUCCUGGAAACGGGUGGUAAUGCCGGAUGCUCCGGUUGGAUGCAUGUCCUUCCGGGAAAGAUCCGUCGGUAUGGGAUGGGGUCGCGUCCUAUCAGCUUGAUGGCGGGGUAACGGCCCACCAUGGCCUCGACGGGUAGCCGGCCUGAGAGGGCGACCGGCCACAUUGGGACUGAGAUACGGCCCAGACUCCUACGGGAGGCAGCAGUGGGGAAUAUUGCACAAUGGGCGCAAGCCUGAUGCAGCGACGCCGCGUGCGGGAUGGAGGCCUUCGGGUUGUAAACCGCUUUUGAUCGGGAGCAAGCCCUUCGGGGUGAGUGUACCCUUCGAAUAAGCGCCGGCUAACUACGUGCCAGCAGCCGCGGUAAUACGUAGGGUGCAAGCGUUAUCCGGAAUUAUUGGGCGUAAAGGGCUCGUAGGCGGUUCGUCGCGUCCGGUGUGAAAGCCCAUCGCUUAACGGUGGGUCCGCGCCGGGUACGGGCGGGCUGGAGUGCGGUAGGGGAGACUGGAAUUCCCGGUGUAACGGUGGAAUGUGUAGAUAUCG
rnacentral:rRNA from 1 species